rnacentral:lncRNA from 1 species
UCUUUCUUAAUACAAAAUUGUAGCUUUUCUAUGUUUUGUGAAUAGAAGACCACUAGAUCGUGACAAAUCACACACACCUAACCCUACCAAGCCCCUAACAAUAAACGAUAAAAAGCCCCACAACUACUAAUGCCCUUCUGACGGCAAAUGAUGAAAACCUCCAUAGCUAUUAACGUCUCUUAGAAAUCAAGCGAAAAAAUCCUAUGACUAUUAAUGCCCUUCCGACAGCAAACGACAAAAAAUCCUACGACUAAUAACAUCAAAAUCAAGCGGCAAAAAAGUCCCACGGCUACUAAUGUCCUU